GGGUUGUGAGGUUAAGCGACUAAGCGUACACGGUGGAUGCCCUGGCAGUCAGAGGCGAUGAAGGGCGUGCUAAUCUGCGAUAAGCGCCGGUAAGGUGAUAUGAACCGUUAUAACCGGCGAUACCCGAAUGGGGAAACCCAGUGUGAUUCGUCACACUAUCAUUAACUGAAUCCAUAGGUUAAUGAGGCGAACCGGGGGAACUGAAACAUCUAAGUACCCCGAGGAAAAGAAAUCAACCGAGAUUCCCCCAGUAGCGGCGAGCGAACGGGGAGGAGCCCAGAGCCUGAAUCAGCAUGUGUGUUAGUGGAAGCGUCUGGAAAGGCGCGCGAUACAGGGUGACAGCCCCGUACACAAAAGCGCAUGUGCUGUGAGCUCGAUGAGUAGGGCGGGACACGUGGUAUCCUGUCUGAAUAUGGGGGGACCAUCCUCCAAGGCUAAAUACUCCUGACUGACCGAUAGUGAACCAGUACCGUGAGGGAAAGGCGAAAAGAACCCCGGCGAGGGGAGUGAAAAAGAACCUGAAACCGUGUACGUACAAGCAGUGGGAGCACAGGUUUACCUGUGUGACUGCGUACCUUUUGUAUAAUGGGUCAGCGACUUAUAUUCUGUAGCAAGGUUAACCGUAUAGGGGAGCCGUAGGGAAACCGAGUCUUAAUUGGGCGUUAAGUUGCAGGGUAUAGACCCGAAACCCGGUGAUCUAGCCAUGGGCAGGUUGAAGGUUGGGUAACACUAACUGGAGGACCGAACCGACUAAUGUUGAAAAAUUAGCGGAUGACCUGUGGCUGGGGGUGAAAGGCCAAUCAAACCGGGAGAUAGCUGGUUCUCCCCGAAAGCUAUUUAGGUAGCGCCUCGUGAAUUCAUCUCCGGGGGUAGAGCACUGUUUCGGCUAGGGGGCCAUCCCGGCUUACCAACCCGAUGCAAACUGCGAAUACCGGAGAAUGUUAUCACGGGAGACACACGGCGGGUGCUAACGUCCGUCGUGAAGAGGGAAACAACCCAGACCGCCAGCUAAGGUCCCAAAGUCAUGGUUAAGUGGGAAACGAUGUGGGAAGGCCCAGACAGCCAGGAUGUUGGCUUAGAAGCAGCCAUCAUUUAAAGAAAGCGUAAUAGCUCACUGGUCGAGUCGGCCUGCGCGGAAGAUGUAACGGGGCUAAACCAUGCACCGAAGCUGCGGCAGCGACGCUUAUGCGUUGUUGGGUAGGGGAGCGUUCUGUAAGCCUGUGAAGGUGGCCUGUGAGGGUUGCUGGAGGUAUCAGAAGUGCGAAUGCUGACAUAAGUAACGAUAAAGCGGGUGAAAAGCCCGCUCGCCGGAAGACCAAGGGUUCCUGUCCAACGUUAAUCGGGGCAGGGUGAGUCGACCCCUAAGGCGAGGCCGAAAGGCGUAGUCGAUGGGAAACGGGUUAAUAUUCCCGUACUUGGUGUUACUGCGAAGGGGGGACGGAGAAGGCUAUGUUGGCCGGGCGACGGUUGUCCCGGUUUAAGCGUGUAGGUGUGUGUUCCAGGUAAAUCCGGUUCACUUUAACACUGAGGCGUGACGACGAGGCACUACGGUGCUGAAGCAACAAAUGCCCUGCUUCCAGGAAAAGCCUCUAAGCAUCAGGUAACAUCAAAUCGUACCCCAAACCGACACAGGUGGUCAGGUAGAGAAUACCAAGGCGCUUGAGAGAACUCGGGUGAAGGAACUAGGCAAAAUGGUGCCGUAACUUCGGGAGAAGGCACGCUGACACGUAGGUGAAGUGAUUUACUCAUGGAGCUGAAGUCAGUCGAAGAUACCAGCUGGCUGCAACUGUUUAUUAAAAACACAGCACUGUGCAAACACGAAAGUGGACGUAUACGGUGUGACGCCUGCCCGGUGCCGGAAGGUUAAUUGAUGGGGUCAGCGCAAGCGAAGCUCCUGAUCGAAGCCCCGGUAAACGGCGGCCGUAACUAUAACGGUCCUAAGGUAGCGAAAUUCCUUGUCGGGUAAGUUCCGACCUGCACGAAUGGCGUAAUGAUGGCCAGGCUGUCUCCACCCGAGACUCAGUGAAAUUGAACUCGCUGUGAAGAUGCAGUGUACCCGCGGCAAGACGGAAAGACCCCGUGAACCUUUACUAUAGCUUGACACUGAACAUUGAGCCUUGAUGUGUAGGAUAGGUGGGAGGCUUUGAAGUGUGGACGCCAGUCUGCAUGGAGCCGGCCUUGAAAUACCACCCUUUAAUGUUUGAUGUUCUAACGUGGACCCGUGAUCCGGGUUGCGGACAGUGUCUGGUGGGUAGUUUGACUGGGGCGGUCUCCUCCUAAAGAGUAACGGAGGAGCACGAAGGUUGGCUAAUCCUGGUCGGACAUCAGGAGGUUAGUGCAAUGGCAUAAGCCAGCUUGACUGCGAGCGUGACGGCGCGAGCAGGUGCGAAAGCAGGUCAUAGUGAUCCGGUGGUUCUGAAUGGAAGGGCCAUCGCUCAACGGAUAAAAGGUACUCCGGGGAUAACAGGCUGAUACCGCCCAAGAGUUCAUAUCGACGGCGGUGUUUGGCACCUCGAUGUCGGCUCAUCACAUCCUGGGGCUGAAGUAGGUCCCAAGGGUAUGGCUGUUCGCCAUUUAAAGUGGUACGCGAGCUGGGUUUAGAACGUCGUGAGACAGUUCGGUCCCUAUCUGCCGUGGGCGCUGGAGAACUGAGGGGGGCUGCUCCUAGUACGAGAGGACCGGAGUGGACGCAUCACUGGUGUUCGGGUUGUCAUGCCAAUGGCACUGCCCGGUAGCUAAAUGCGGAAGAGAUAAGUGCUGAAAGCAUCUAAGCACGAAACUUGCCCCGAGAUGAGUUCUCCCUGAGACUUAGAGUCUCCUGAAGGAACGUUGAAGACGACGACGUUGAUAGGCCGGGUGUGUAAGCGCAGCGAUGCGUUGAGCUAACCGGUACUAAUGAACCGUGAGGCUUAACCUUACAACGCCGAAGCUGUU
rnacentral:rRNA from 1 species